GGUUAAUGCUAGCGGUGCGCCUAACACAUGCAAGUCGAGCGAGAGUAUUUUGUAGCUUGCUAUAAAAUAUGAAAGCGGCGAACGGGUGAGUAACACGUUGGAAUCUGCCCCCAAGUCAGGGAUAGCCCAUCGAAAGAUGGAUUAAUACCGGAUAGUCUCUUCGGAGUAAAGAUUUAUUGCUUGGGGAGGAGCCUGCGGUCUAUCAGCUAGUUGGUAGUGUAAAAGACUACCAAGGCUAUGACGGAUAGUUGGUCUGAGAGGAUGAUCAACCACAAUGGAACUGAGACACGGUCCAUACUCCUACGGGAGGCAGCAGUGAGGAAUAUUCCACAAUGGGCGCAAGCCUGAUGGAGCGACACCGCGUGAAGGAUGAAGAUCUAACGAUUGUAAACUUCUUUUCUGAGGGAGCAUAAUGAGAGUACUUCAGGAAUAAGCACCGGCUAAACUCGUGCCAGCAGCCGCGGUAAUACGAGUGGUGCAAGCAUUGCCCGGAAUCACUGGGUGUAAAGGGUUUGUAGGCGGACUGGCAAGUCAGGUAUGAAAGACCGGAGCUCAACUCCGCGUUUGUGCUUGAAACUAUCAGUCUAGAAUUAGGAAGGGGUAAGCGGAAUUCUAAGUGUAGGGGUGCAAUCCGUAGAUACUUAGAGGAACACCAAAAGCGAAGGCAGCUUACUGGGACUAUAUUGACGCUGAAAAACGAAAGCGUGGGGAGCGAAAAGGAUUAGAUACCCUUGUAGUCCACGCCCUAAACGAUGAUAACUAAGUGUUGCACUUGUUGCAGUGCUGUAGCUAACGCGUUAAGUUAUCCACCUGAGAAGUACGGUCGCAAGAUUAAAACUCAAAGGAAUAGACGGGGACCCACACAAGCAGUGGAUCAUGUGGUCUAAUUCGACAAUAAACGGGGAACCUUACCCAGACUUGACAUCUAUAGAAUCUCCUGGAAACAGGAGAGUGCCCGCAAGGGAGCUAUAAGACAGGUGCUGCAUGGUUGUCGUCAGCUCGUGCCUUGAGGUGUUCGGUUAAGUCCGUUAACGAGCGCAACCCAUGUCGCUAGUUACUAUGUCUAGCGAGACUGCCUUGGUUAACAAGGAGGAAGGUGUGGAUGACGUCAAAUCAGCAUGGCUUUUACGUCUGGGGCCACACACAUGAUACAAUGGCGUGCACAAAGAGUAGCGAUGAGGUGACUCGGAGCCAAUCUCUAAAACACGUCUCAGUCCGGAUUGGAGGCUGAAACUCGCCUCCAUGAAGUUGGAAUUGCUAGUAAUCGUGAAUCAGACAUGUCACGGUGAAUAUGUUCCUGGGUCUUGUACUCACCGCCCGUCACGGCAUGGGAGGUAGUAAUAUCGGAAGCCCCUCUAGUAAUAUGAGGGUCCAUGGUAGGACUACUGACUGGGCUG
rnacentral:rRNA from 1 species